GAUGAAGAACGUAGCGAAAUGCGAUAAGUAAUGUGAAUUGCAGAAUUCAGUGAAUCAUCGAAUCUUUGAACGCAUCUUGUGCUCCUUGGUAUUCUGAGGAGCAUGCCUGUUUGAGUGUCAUUAAAUUCUCAACUACACUGACUUUGAAUUGGUGUGGCUUGGAUUUGGGGGCAAAAUUGUUGUGGGCUUUUUGUAUAGUCUGCUCCCCUGAAAUUGAUUAGCGGUACCUUUGUGGAACUGUCUACAGGUGUGAUAAUUAUCUACAUCUUAGACAUCUGCUGGAAUGCUGCUUUCUAAACCUUACUUGUAUUGACAAUCUUGACCUCAAAUCAGGUAGGACUACCCGCUGAACUUAAGCAUAUCAAUAAGCGGAGGA
rnacentral:misc_RNA from 1 species